CUCAAGACCUUGCUGAUGGUGGUAAUAGAGAAGAAAAGAAGUUCGAGGUUUUUGCUGAAAGUGUUGGGCCUGAGUCUAAUACACUGGUGCAUGGUAUUUUGCCACUAUAACCAUAUCUCAGUUCUUGUAGUCUGCCUCAUCUAUUCUUAAUCCAACUUUAUAUAGGUGACUCAUAUUAAGCUACAAGCAAUUGACUAUAUGCCAACGAUAGCUCUAGAGUUCUCCUCCACCUACUAUUCCCACAGAGAGCAGUAGUAUACCUAUUUUGCAUCAACUCAUAUUGAGACACAACCACAAGAUCAAUUUUCAGUUAUCAUGUGCCAAAGCUAGUUCUGCACUGCUCUAGCUAUAUAUGUUCCCACAC
rnacentral:lncRNA from 1 species